AUUGAACGCUGGCGGCAGGCUUAACACAUGCAAGUCGAACGAAGUGGCGAACGGGUGAGUAACGCGUAAUCAACCUGCCCUUCAGAGGGGGACAACAGUUGGAAACGACUGCUAAUACCGCAUACUGAAGGAGGGGAUUGCGUCUGAUUAGCUAGUUGGGGGGGUAACGGGCCACCAAGGCGAUGAUCAGUAGCCGGUCUGAGAGGAUGAACGGUCACAUUGGGACGGAGACACGGCACAGACUCCUAACGGAGGACGCAGUGGGGAAUCUUCCGCAAUGGACGGAAGUCUGACGGAGCAACGCCGCGUGAGUGAUGACGGCCUUCGGGUUGUAAAGCUCUGUUAAUCGGGACGCGGUACCGGAAUAGAAAGCCACGGCUAACUACGUGCCAGCAGCCGCGGUAAUUC
rnacentral:rRNA from 1 species